rnacentral:rRNA from 1 species
UGACCCGGGAACUCGUUUUCAUAUUGGGGCUCGUCGGCCUAUUGUUUCAUGUCGCCCCGAAUAACACCCCCCGGCACAAUGUGUGCCAAGGAAAACUAAACUUGAGAAGGCUUGUUUCAUGUUGCCCCGUUCGCGGUGCGCUCAUGGAAUGUGGCUUCUUUUUAAUUACAAACGACUCUCGGCAACGGAUAUCUCGGCUCACGCAUCGAUGAAGAACGUAGCAAAAUGCGAUACUUGGUGUGAAUUGCAGAAUCCCGUGAACCAUCGAGUUUUUGAGCGCAAGUUGCGCCCGAAGCCUUUUGGCCGAGGGCACGUCUGCCUGGGCGUCACGCAUCGCGUCGCCCCCAACAAAUAUCUGUUGGGGGCGGAUAUUGGUCUCCCGUGCUCAUGGUGUGGUUGGCCAAAAUAAGAGUCCCUUCGAUGGACACACGAACUAGUGGUGGUCGUAAAAACCCUCGUUCUUUGUUCUGUGUUAGUCGCAAGGAAAAACCCUUCAAAUACCCCAACGCGUUGUCUUAGGAUGACGCUUCGACCGCGACCCCAGGUCAGGCGGGACUACCCGCUGAG